UACGUAGGGUGCAAGCGUUAAUCGGAAUUACUGGGCGUAAAGCGUGCGCAGGCGGUUGUGCAAGACAGAUGUGAAAUCCCCGGGCUCAACCUGGGAACUGCAUUUGUGACUGCACGGCUGGAGUGCGGCAGAGGGGGAUGGAAUUCCGCGUGUAGCAGUGAAAUGCGUAGAUAUGCGGAGGAACACCGAUGGCGAAGGCAAUCCCCUGGGCCUGCACUGACGCUCAUGCACGAAAGCGUGGGGAGCAA
rnacentral:rRNA from 1 species